ACUUGUGCUCUUCCCAUGUGCCAGAUACUGCGUUAAGAGCUAGGCAUAUAGUGAUAGAAAACAGAGUAUCCUCAUGAAUCUUGCAAGCAAGUAGGAGAAGCAGACAUUUAACCAGGACACAUGUAAAUAAAUGAAAACCCAUGAUCAAAACUCUGAGGAAAAAGAAAAAAAAGUAGGCAGUGGGUGAGGGAGUCAUGCUGAAACAGGCCAGGGUGGACCUCUUAUAGAAACUCAAGGCAUGACCUUUGAGUAGGUGUGAGAGUCCUGCUUUCAGGAGAUUGUUUCUGGCUUUCAUUAGCAGUAGUCACAGGGAGCCUCGAAGGUCAAAUCUGGAUCUCUGUAACAGGGUCCACAACACUGGGAAGUUUAAUAAGAUGCAGAGGUUCUAGAAAGAGAAUGGCAGUUUAUAUCAGGCAAGCAGUGUUGCUUAGGGCAACAGGGUUCUGUUGCAUGGAGUGUGUGUGUGUGUGUGUGUGUGUGUGUGUGCAAAUAGCACGUGUGACCAGGAUAUUGAGGCAGCAGCUAUGGGACGAGGGGAAGGAGUGGCGGUGGCUGUAAUCCACACGGUGGAAGAAUAAGCAAAUACUGAUGCGAGAUUUACUGUAAUGCUAGGAAAUUCCGGGAGAUAGCCACGGCAGUAGAGGUGGUUUAUGCUUUUUGGUCUCCGUGUUUCAAAUCGUAAGGCUGUGUCAAGUCAGACUGUUAGAGGAAAACACAAAAAUAGGAAAAAAAAAAAAGUCUUCAUGCCGUAUCAACAAGAUCAAAGUUGGUUUAAAUUUGCAUUGAAUGAUGGUGGUUUUUAAAAAUUCGCUUGCGCUAAUCUAGCAACACCCGGUUGCUUAUAGUGUUUUUGCACCGUUAAUCCCUUGUACCUGUUAAUAGCAUGUAAUGAGUGGCAUACAGCUCGUCUUUAGUCUGUGGAAUAUGGGUUCUGCAAAGAUGACUGCUCACAAUUAAUUGCUUCAGCUUCUUCCAUCGUCUCAAGUGAUACGGGUUUCUAUAGGAGGAAAACCAAACAAACCCAAACCUCCGCAGACUCUUUUGAAAACCAUUUUAGAGCAACUAGUUUAUGUCCACACCAUAGAAUUGCCAUUUCUUUGCCAUGGUGUCCGGGUGUCAGGACCCGCAAAUGGUAGCCGACUUGAUGUCAAAUUCUCCGCCUUCUCCCCUGAGCUCUCAGAUGCCUGAAUCCAGCCAGGUGUGAGGAUCCUUCCAUUAUUGACUCAGAAGCUUGGUCCCUUUGUCGGCUUCCGUGGUCAGUCAGGCUGUUUUUCUCCCUGGCUCUGCUCAGGGUGUAGAAGGAAGCACUACAUCAUAGCACCUGCAUUCCUGAAAUGCAUCUGUUAAAACUGCAGUUCCCCCGAGAAGGCUGCCGCACGUAACACUCCAGGAUCCGCAUGGGGUUAGCGCUGCGGCUCAGUUCCUACAGGUCCUGGGGACGCCGUAAUUAUCAUGACUUCAUCCCACACAUUUGAACGUUAUUGUGAUAAGUCUGUGAUGGCAGAGAGCUUCAGAAGCUUAAACAAAUCUACUUCAGGGCUCUAGCCUAUACUUACAAAUAUUACCUAAAAGGUUACUCAUAGCUAGCUUUUUUUUUUCUUCUUCAAAUUUUGACCCAAUUUCUUUUCAGAAUAGACUGGCAAUUUACCUGUCUGUUCUCCAUGGGCCAACUUUUAGGGAUGUGAUGUUGUGUGAAGGGAGUUUUUUUCAUGAUGUUGAAAAAAAGAUAUUUUAAGACAGUAAAGCAUAUUAAUUUGUAGAUUCCUUUUUUUAAUGUUUAUUUUUGAGAGAGAGAGAGAGAGAGAGAGAGACAAAAUAUGAGUGGGGGAGGGGCGGAGAGAGAGGGAGACACAGAAUCCAAAGCAGACUCCAGGCUCUGAGCUGUCAGCACAGAGCCCGAGUCGGGGCUCGAACUCAUGAACAGUGAGAUCAUGGCCUAAGCCAAAGUUGGAACCUUAACCGACGGAGCCACCCAGGCUCCCCGGUAAAAAUGUUCUAAAGAAAAUAAAAAUGUAAUGAAUUUAUCCUUUUCAGAAUCUCAUAUGUUCCAAGGACAUGGCUAACGAUUUCAUCAGUAAGGCUCUUCAUAAUAGUUACACGGGUAAUUGACCUGAGGUUCGACAACUUCCUGGCGGUGCCCUGCUUGGAUACCGGACCGCUUGUUGUUUUUCUAUUUGCAUUAAGGCAGUGACCAAGAUGAUUUUUGAGGGGAGGGAGAUAUUCCUUGGAGGACAGGAUAAAAGAUUAGUCUUUACUAUUUUUGGUAUCCCCCCACUGCUGAGCACAGUGACCCAUAUGCUGCGGAUCCCAGUCAAGCCUGCUGUCCCCGACAUUAAGUUCAGACUGUGACUUCCCAGGGAAGAAUCUCCCUAAGAGAGUGGGUCAGGGUGAAAGGUCCCUUGAGUCACCAAACUCUUCUGUUGAUGAUAGCAAAGCCAAGACCAGACGUGCCAGUGAUGCUGAUUUUACGUGCAUCGGUCACUAACACAUUUGCUGGGUUUCCAUAAAAUGCGAGAAAGUGAUCACAGACCGACUGCUCAUAAAUCCGCCAAACCCCCUACAGGCAGAGGGCCUUGAGAGAAAGAAGCUAAGGGCACAGCUGCCAACUGAGGAGUGAGGCAAAUAGCUCUUUGAAGAGGCCCAAGGCCACACCAUUCUCCCAGGGUCCCCUGGAGAAGUGAGGGGUGAGGCUGGCUGGCUGUGUGAGGAGACGUCUCCCAGCAGGCUGAGGACGGAAGGGUUGUGGACAUGCCCGAGGCUACCCACAGCGGAAUUUGGAAGUGAAUAAAUAGUCACAUCUGCACCUUCCCUUAGAAGAUUUUUCACAGCUUGAACUGGCUACUAAAAGGUAGGUACCCCCCUUUUAAAGAACGUUUGAAAAAAACAAGGAUGCAGUUGCUUUCUGUGAGACUAUGCUUGCUGUUGAUGUUCAGCUCUCUAUAAAUGUAUAUUAAGUAAGUGUUACUACCAUAUGUGAGUAUGGUAGUGAGUAUGUGAGUAUUCUAUUAGCUGUUAAGUUAAAUUAGCUGUUAAGUUAAAUUAGCUGUUAAGUUAAAACCAAAAUGCCUGUCCCUAUGUAGAAGGUGUGGAAAGAGACACCGUUUCUUUCGUAUUUGGUCCUUCAGUAUGGCAGAGUGCAGAGUUGAAAUAUUUGAAGGGUUCAGGCAUUGGUAUAUUAUGCAGGUACCAGUUGGAGACCCACGUACGUCUUUUCUUUAUGACGCUUCUCCAAAAAACGUUUCUCUUGUUAACACUUAGAUUUGGUUUUGGGUUUUGGUGUUUUAGACCAAACACGGGAUUUAGGUAAAGGAUUCAUUAAUGAGAAUGCAUUUUCCACUACUGCCCAAUGAAUAUUUGAUGGCAUUUUUGUUGCCUUGAAAUGGUAAGAUGCUGUAAAUACCUCUGAACAAGCUUUUCAAGAAGUUCAUAUUCUCAGAAAAGCUGACGUUCGCCUAACCACGAUAAGGCAGGGCUGUAGUCUCCCUCCUCCUCUUGGGUAUAUCUGUCUCUUAUAUUCAGCCAACUCCAUGAAAAGGUGUAGAAUUUCCCAUGAGGUUUCAGGAGCCCAUAAUGUUAUUACCAUAAUUGAUCGGUCUUUAACCUACCCACUUCUUAAAUAAGAAGAUUCACUUUUUAUUUUUUCUUUUUGCCAACACCUGCAGUCAGAUGUUUCCCUGUUUUGUUUUGUUUUGUUUUGUUUUGUUUUUUAAUAGUGUGUGUCAGAAGUGGCUCCUUAUAAAGACUAGGAUCAUUUCCUUUUCAUAAAGCUUUCUGAGAAUAGUGAUACUGCUUUGCUAAAAAUGUCUCUUCUGCAGAAGAAACUUUCCCUAAGCACGCAAACACGAUGAGUGUGUGUGAAAUGUGGCCAGUAACGGUAGCCAUACUUGGCAAAGGCGAGCGACAGGAGUGAACAGCAGGUUUGUGCGUUGUCGGCCUGGGAGGGUUUAGAUGUGGCCCAGCCUCCAGGUGGGAACCUGAACCGCAUCCCAAGAGACGUGCCUACCUCAGGAGGCUAAACACAGAAACACUCUCCUCAAACCUAGCGAGUCAGUUAAUUAACUGCAUUUAUAAUUCCAUAAUUGAGACUCACUCUUAUGGAUGGUUAGGCAGUUAACUAGCCAUAUGGAAGUGAUGUGGAAUUCUAAUGAAGGUGGAAUUGAAUAGCAGGGUAGAAACUCGGCAGGUCGGUGGCUUCUGUGCUGUGGGAAAAGGGAUCUGGACCAAGGAUGAGUACCUGGUUAAUAAGGUCUUGAGAAGUGCCUGAUAGCUUUUUCUUUAAGACUAGGGAUGCAAGAUAGAACUAUGAAACACGAGAAAAAUGAGAUUUAAGUUGAGAUUGGCAAAAGGGGUAUUUUAUUUUUAUUUAAAAAAAAUGUUUAUUUAUUUAUUUUGAGAGAGAUGGAGAGAGUGCAAGUGGGAGAGGAGCAGACAGAGAGGGAGAGAGAGAAUCCCAAGCAGCCUCCAUGCUCAGCACGGAGCCCGAUGCGGGGCUUGAUCCCGUGACCCUGAGAUCAUGACCUGAGCUGAAAUCAAGAGUUGGAUACUUACCUGGGUGAGCCACCCAGGCACCCGAGGAUAACACCACAUCAGCCCACUGGACUUUUACUUGGUCUCUAAAACAGAACAUAUAAGCUGGGAGUGCAUGACCAGCUAUGAACUGACUUGGGUCACGGUAAAUGUGAUUUUUGUCCCUCUACAUUUACACCUGCCUCAGUCUGCUCUGGGGUCCUGUAGCUGUCCCUGCCUCCUGCCAUCAAGGCUCCCCGACUGUGCUGUUUGGCAGGAUUGGAUUUUGUCAGUUGCCUCCCACAAAGGAAAUGCUCAGGAGGCAUAUGUUGCAGUGCCUUUCCGAAAUAGUUGAAGAUGUCACCUUCAUAAACAAAAUGACUGGAUUUAUUUUCUUUCUCCCUUCCCUUCUUUUGAUGAUCAAAAGACAGAACAUUUUAAGUACUCCCCAUUCCCCCCCCCCCACCCCCUUCUUGACUGAUUGGAAGAAAUACUGUUACAUGGCAGAAUAUUGGCAGUGAGUAGAAAUACAAAGAAGGUUUAACAUUAACCUUAUGGAGGAACAGUGCAAGACCAAUGGAAUGAUGGAAGAAAAGGCUUACUAAUAAUAUUACAUACUAGUAUAAUUAAAUAAAUAUGGAAAAUUUCAUGCAUUUAGAUGGUGGUCUAGAUCCUAACACUUAACCACUCACUUUCAAACAGAAGCUAUUUUUGUAAGCACGUAGGAGUCUAGUAAUAUUUUUUGGCUAGAAAUCAUUUAAAGUUUACAUCACUGUAUAGCAUGGAUUAAGCAGGUGCAAGGAAAUUGAAGAAGAGAAUGUUUAGAUUUCAGAAAGUGAAUUCCAUGUAACUGUGAGAGGUGGAGCUUGGAUUAGUGCCACAGUUUUGAGGAAGACGCUUUAGUGACACCGUGUUUCUGUGCCUGAUUCUUAUACACACACACACAGGUACAACAUGUGGGAGUAUUCAUUGUCCAGAAUUCUAGAAUUCAUAAUUUUGCAACCAGAUAUGAAUUCUAGAAUUCAUAAUUUUGCAACAGUGAUUCAUGCAAAAUCUUUUUCUUUUUUUUAAACCAUAUAUUUGAAUAAAUUGUGAAUUAUGGAUUUUUUUUCUUUUUUACUAGCAAAGUGGUAUCUUUUGGAAUGACUUCUUAAUUGUCCACGGUAAGGUUUAUAUCUUGCUGGUCAAAACAUCUUAACAUACUAAGGUCAAGUUCAGAAUUAUAAUCAAAGAAGGUACUUAAAAAUUUUUUUUUUCCAGGGAGUCUGAUUAUAAAAGAAUUUUGUAGUACCAUUACCCGUAACCAAAUUUUUGUCUAGUAUUGUAUGUCUUGUCUUCAUUUUGUACAUUUCUUUUAGUUUUAUGAUUAGAUUCUUAGUAAUAUCUGCCCGCCACUCCCCCUUUCUUUCCCUUCCUAGGAUCUGAAUAAAUACAGCUUGAUGCGUGGUCUUCAUUUAUUGUAGCUAAUUAGAGAGAUACUUGAUCCUGGACAUGUAAGGUCUGGUGUUAUCAAGCACUGAUUUAUAAGCUACAGGGACUGUCCUUUGUUGAUGUUAUACACACCAUCUCAGUACCCCUGCAAAAGAGGUGGUGUUACGUCUGUUUACAGAUCAGGAAAUAGGUUCGGAGAGCUUCAGGGACUCCUCCAAAGUGUCAGGUCAGGCCGCAAGAAACAUAGUUGAUCCAGGAUUUAAACUCAGCUGUGUCUUACCCCCACACCAUGGCUCUUUUUACUGUGCUGCAUUGCUUUUCCUGUAACUUUUGCCUGUUUCAGAAAUUAAUUUAUCUCCUGGAACAAGCAAUUUUUUCUCUCUGCUAGGUGUUGUGACCUAUUUUCUGUUUCAUAAGAUUUUCCAAGGACAUAAUUUAAGACAGUCUAUGUUUUUAAUUUUUCAAUAUGUUGUUGGUGUUUUGUUUUGAGCAAAUAAACAGUAACAACAAUCAGAUAGUCCAGAAGCUAAAUCAUUGAGCCAGACUUCACACAGGAGAAACAAAGAGCUGGUAGCCAUGCCAGGUGAGUUAUCUCUUGCACCAGGUGCCAGUCCUUCCCUCGGGCAUACGCCUUGGAGCCUUUGGGCCUCAGGAGUGCUUGUUAUGGGCUUAAUUAUUUAGCUCAAUAACUGUUCCCUUGUGCUUUCACAGUUGUACACUUCUUUAUUAGGAAGGGAUAAAUAUCUGAUUGUGGUGAGGCCAUGCGAAGGUAGUUUUGGUGAAAAAAAAAGUGGAUAAUAAAGUAAUCGUUGCAUAUGUCUUUUUAAAAUAUGUGGAAAUAAGGAGCACCUGGGUGGCUCAGUCGCUUAAGCCUCCGACUCUUGAUUUCGCCUCAGGUCAUGAUCUUCCAGUUUGCGAGUUCCAGCCCGGAGUAGGGCUCUGUGCUGACUGCCCGGAGUCUUCUUGGGCUUCUCUUCCCCUCUCUAUCUGCCCCUCCCCUGUUCGCACACUAUGUCUCUCUCAAAAUUAAAUAAAUAAACUAAAAAAAAAAAAAAAAAGUGAAAAUAAAAGCAAUCUAAGGUGUGGUAUUAUAUAAUUUUGAGCAUUUAAUGGAAUGUAAGAAAAGAACCCAUUUAACCCUGAGGUUUAGCCAAGUUCACAGUCUUAGAAUUGUAUUUCCUUCUCCAGGAGUUGAGACCUGCUCUUGAUCCUGCAGGAAGUCCAAUUUACGUAAUCAUAAUGUUGUAAAUGUAGCUAAAGAGUCUGCUGGUUAAUCUCCACACAAGACAAGACGUAAUUCUAACGAUAGAGAAAACAAACCAAGGCCUAAAAACCUGGCAGUGCAGAAAGAGUCCCUUCUUUCCACUGACAGAAGUCCAUGGCUAGACCGCAGGAAGAAAAGAGGCUGUAGAGGAUGCUAAUUUGUUUCGAGAUGCUAAUUUCUUUCUCUUACAUGGUGGGAUGUCAAGAUACACCGUGCCAGGCUGCUGAAACAAGAAACAGAGCUGACCAAUUGAAGAGCUAAAAAUAGCAUAAUCAAGAAAACUAGGGGAGAAUUAGAGGUGAAGGAAGUGUGAAUGAGUUAGAUAUGAGGGAGGGAGGCAGGCAGGCCGAGGUUGACAAAUCAAGAAGAGAGACCAGCCUGUUAUUUGGUUAAGCUGAUAACCACAAAGAGUGUAAAAACAAUAAUAACGGAAAGGAGUGGAAAUGGGGACCGUGGGCCCAGGGACACUUACUUACCACUUACUAUCACCUGGUUCUGUUUGGAAAAACUUAACUGCCUAUGCAUUACUUUUAAGAUGAUUUAAGAGAGAAGAUUUUAAUAAUUGUGGAUGCAGAGUCUCAAGAAUACCUUUCCACACUAUUCCAUUGCCACUAUUACCAAGCCACCAAGGACUGCUGUGGCUAAUGGCGGAAGGCUUUGGACAACGGUAGGUUGGGGUGGGGUGGCGAAGGACUUAGAUCCACAGUCACAUUCAAGUCUUGAGCUGGAUUCAUGUGGCAGAAAACUACCAGCCUUCCUCAAACGUGCAAGGUCAGAGGCUCUGGCGACCAGACCGUGCCUGCCAGGAAAGCUCAGGACCUGUUCUCUGUAACGCUCCUGCCGCCUUGGGAUCCUGCUUCGUAAUGUAGGAUGCUACGGCCAUUCUGGAGAAUAGAUGCCUGCAUUGACUGCCUUUGUUUUCUCUGGUCUGAGGAGUGGCCCAGCUUCAGGGCACCGACUUCCUUCCAGGAACUUCCUGCAAGGGAAAAUUUCGACUUUUCUGCAUGAACACUCCAAAUGCCUGUGGGUUGAACAAUGGCCACAGCAGUUGUUUUUCAAGGGACUUGGUUUUGUUUUGACCUUGAGAAGUGUGGAUUGUUGUGUUCAUGGCGCCUCCAGGUGGGCAGUCAAGGAAGGGCCUCUUGGUGGGGUGGGAGCCGCUGGAGAACGAGGACCUGACGGGGCCAUUUUCCCUUUUAGCCCUGGUCUGAGUGGUCCUGGGAAUAGCAGUUCCGUGACAGGGUUUGGGAUGGGAAAUGGAGUCCAGGGAACAGCUGGGGAAGGAACUUACUGUGGAGUUCCUGCCAGUAGCUCAAGGAUGCUUCCUGGUUCAGAAGGUUGUGAAAAUAGAUGCCUUUAUCUGUUGUCCCUCUAUCCAGGCAAAUUUGUAAGUAAUCCCAUGUUUUGAAAUAAAGGAAAUACAAGGGAGUAUUCUGAGGUUCCCUCAGCAGCUGGAAAACCUUGCCUAAAAUUGUAGUCGCGCAUUUUCCUGUCAGGAAUUGAGUUACUGUGGCUUUAGUCCCGGGCUGCAAAGUGAGACGCCACCAUGAUUGGAGUGGAUGGUUUUCAGUGAGUGGCACCCUCUGGGUGGGGACUUUGGCAAACUAAAAUCUCACAGCUCAUUGAAGUUGCUGUUCAGUUUCAGCUGUUGCCACGUAUGGAGAGCAGGCUUGACAGAGCUUCCGGUUUUUCAAGAAAAACAAGGACUCUGGAUUUAUAAGUGAAAUCUCUUGUAUUUCAAACGUUACCAACUAAUGAAAAGGAAAUGAAAUGACUGCCUAGACUUUAGAAGCCAUUUAUUGGGUGGUAAAGUCUGAGAACCUCCAGCUCUUUCCUCUGGUUAGGACUCUAACUCUUGUCUCCCCGUAGUUCUUCUGUCUGGAUUGUUGAAAAUGAGCUGUACCUCUUCUGGGCACUGUCUCUGUCUUGCAUCUUGUCCCCAAAGCGUUUCAAUGACACUCUCUCACCUACAAGAUAAUGUAAGUUAGAAGUAGGCGAGCAAGUCAAAACAACUGUAUGAAGAAAAGUGGAACCAGAAUGAACUUGUAUAUGCCUGUCUGUGAGCCUGUCAGUGGAUCUCACAUUGGGCAUGGAACUUCGUAGCAACUUGCUCAACACGGAAGCCACAAACCUUAUCACCUCAACAAUUUGUGAUGUCCUUUAAACAAACUGUUCAGCAGAGGUUGAUGCCAAGAUCAGAGGAUACUUCCUAAAGGGUCUUCAAAGGAAUCGUAUCAGAGGCAAAGCCCUCAUGGCAGUGUGGGUUUUAUAGGACUUGCUCUUUUUUGUUGUCCUUUAUGAAAAGAAUGAUCCCAGGGGUGCCUGGGUGGCUCAGUCACUUAAGCGCCCGACCUUAGCUCAGGUCAUGAUCUCGUGGUUCAUGAGUUUGAGCCCCGGGUCGGGCUCUGUGCUGACAGUGAGGAGCCUGGAGCCUGCUUUGGGUUCUGUGGCUCCCUCUCUCUCUGCCCCUCCCCUGCUUGCACUCUAUUUCUCUCUCAGAAAUAAAUAAAUAUUAAAAAAAAAAAAAAAAAAAGAAGAGUGAACCCAGUUAGCACUAAUGUGUGGUUUAGGAAAUGAGAUAAUGGGGAGGGCUGAGCUGUACGUAAAAGCCUCCUGGUGGCCUAACUUAAGCAGGUGGGGAGAGGGGUGGUGGUGGAAGAGGGAAUGGUUUGGGAGACAAGUACUGGCAGCGGAACCUUGGCUAAGUUGCUUUAUUUUUCUACACCUCAGUUUCCUCAUCCAUGAAAUGGGCGUGUUUAUAUAACGUGAUCACUCUCGUAAGACAAUUGUGUGGCUUAAAUGAUUUAGUUCAAAUAAGGCAGUCAUUGCAAUUCCUGGUAUCCAGCAAGCAUUCCUUGAAUGUGAUGAAUUAGAGACAUCGCUAGCAGUGAGAACUUAAUUGUCAACAUGAUUAAAUGUGGCUGUUGCGAUUGUUUUACAGGACUUAAAAUGUUUUUGUUUGCCAUAAAAUAGUUUUAGUUAACACUCAAUCCCUGGUCACCAAAAAUAUGUUUAGUACCUAUGUACAAAGUGUUUUGCAAGGGUUGGUGGGACGGCCCCUGGUCUCAAGGAACUUGUAUUUUGAUUAACAUGAUAAAUACUCAUGAAGAGUAUGAGACAGGAUGUACCAAGGGCCAUCCCAGCACGGCUGUGGCCAUUCAGAGAAGGCUUAUCACGGUGAUCUGACUGACACCAGAAUAAGGUUUCACACACUGAUGGUUGACUUUAUUAUUUUCAGACUAGACUUUUGUAGUUUGAAUCAUUCUAAACACUGUACAAGAACAUUUCCAGCUAUGGGGCGCCUGGAUGGCUCAGUCAGUUGAGCAUCUGACUUCAGCUCAGGUCGUGAUCUCACGGUUUCUGGGUUGGAGCCCUGCAUCUGGCU